rnacentral:rRNA from 1 species
AUGACCACAAAGAAGGUUGCUCAUUACUUCUCUGACCAUUCCAUUACAGUCGUCAGCGACGCUCCAUUGUCAGAGAUUCUGCACAACAGAAAUGCAACUGGUCGAGUGGCAAAAUGGACGAUUGAACUCCUUCCCCUAGAUAUCAAGUUUGAGGCAAAGAAAGCCAUCAAGUCCCAAGCAAUAGCAGAUUUCAUCGCCGAGUGGAUUGAACAGCAACUGCCGACUCAAGUUCACUCGGAGCACUGGACCAUGUUCUUUGAUGGUUCUAAGAUGCUGAAUGGUUCCGAUGUUGGGGUAGUGUUGGUUUCCCCCGGAGGAGAUAAACUCAGAUAUGUGCUCCAGAUUCACUUUGAUUCAUCCAAUAACGAAGCAGAAUACGAAGCACUUCUCUAUGGGUUGCGUAUGGCCAUUUCACUCGGCGUCCGUCGCCUCAUGGUCUAUGGCGACUAA